rnacentral:rRNA from 1 species
AGACCCGAAACCCGGUGAUCUAGCCAUGGGCAGGUUGAAGGUUGGGUAACACUAACUGGAGGACCGAACCGACUAAUGUUGAAAAAUUAGCGGAUGACUUGUGGCUGGGGGUGAAAGGCCAAUCAAACCGGGAGAUAGCUGGUUCUCCCCGAAAGCUAUUUAGGUAGCGCCUCGUGAAUUCAUCUCCGGGGGUAGAGCACUGUUUCGGCAAGGGGGUCAUCCCGACUUACCAACCCGAUGCAAACUGCGAAUACCGGAGAAUGUUAUCACGGGAGACACACGGCGGGUGCUAACGUCCGUCGUGAAGAGGGAAACAACCCAGACCGCCAGCUAAGGUCCCAAAGUCAUGGUUAAGUGGGAAACGAUGUGGGAAGGCCCAGACAGCCAGGAUGUUGGCUUAGAAGCAGCCAUCAUUUAAAGAAAGCGUAAUAGCUCACUGGUCGAGUCGGCCUGCGCGGAAGAUGUAACGGGGCUAAACCAUGCACCGAAGCUGCGGCAGCGACGCUGAUGCGUUGUUGGGUAGGGGAGCGUUCUGUAAGCCUGUGAAGGUGUACUGUGAGGUAUGCUGGAGGUAUCAGAAGUGCGAAUGCUGACAUAAGUAACGAUAAAGCGGGUGAAAAGCCCGCUCGCCGGAAGACCAAGGGUUCCUGUCCAACGUUAAUCGGGGCAGGGUGAGUCGACCCCUAAGGCGAGGCCGAAAGGCGUAGUCGAUGGGAAACAGGUUAAUAUUCCUGUACUUGGUGUUACUGCGAAGGGGGGACGGAGAAGGCUAUGUUGGCCGGGCGACGGUUGUCCCGGUUUAAGCGUGUAGGCUGGUUUUCCAGGCAAAUCCGGAAAAUCAAGGCUGAGGCGUGAUGACGAGGCACUACGGUGCUGAAGCAACAAAUGCCCUGCUUCCAGGAAAAGCCUCUAAGCAUCAGGUAACAUCAAAUCGUACCCCAAACCGACACAGGUGGUCAGGUAGAGAAUACCAAGGCGCUUGAG